UACGUAGGGUGCGAGCGUUAAUCGGAAUUACUGGGCGUAAAGUGUGCGCAGGCGGCCGAGCAAGUCGAGUGUGAAAGCCCCGAGCUUAACUUGGGAACUGCGCUCGAAACUACUUGGCUAGAGUGUGGCAGAGGGAGGUGGAAUUCCACGUGUAGCGGUGAAAUGCGUAGAGAUGUGGAGGAACACCGAUGGCGAAGGCAGCCUUCUGGGCCAACACUGACGCUCAUGCACGAAAGCGUGGGGAGCAAACAGG
rnacentral:rRNA from 1 species